rnacentral:lncRNA from 1 species
CACAAAAAAUUCAUCAUUCGGUGCCUAUCUUAAUUACAACCCAAAAAUAUAUACACUACAGUCAUUUCUACUAAAAUAAAAACUUAAAGUCUCUCAAAACAUUCCAACAAUAUUCUUGAGCACUUUCGGAUCCGAAUCCUGUUAAGGAAAACAAAAUGUGGGAUGAGCUUGUACCCAGUGAGCAUUCCAAGUAAACAAGCAAAAUAAGAGAAUAGCACAAUUUAACAUGUAAGCACAUUUUUCCAAGUAAUCUAGGUUCAAGUAAAUCGAUACUCAACUUUAAAAACUGGUAGUUGAGCAAUUAAUUGUAAUAGGAAUCUUUCAAUGUAAAAUACUUGAUAAACAAUAACAUUCAUGCGUGCAUUCAAUUAUUCGUUCAAGUAAAUACAAGGAUGAACAAUAAUUUAAACAUUAAAAAGAUACGGAGCUCAUAGGGAGCAACAUGUACCUUAUAACUGCCAAUAAACAAUCACAUACAUUUUACCACCUUAUAACCUCCGAACUCCCACCUUAUGUCCUUCGAAAGAUCAACAAUCCCCUCAUUUAACAUCCACCUUAUGCCCUCCGAAAAAUCAAUAAUUCCCUCAUUUAACAUUAAACAUUAAAUAUUGUACUCAAGGCCUUUCGAUAAAGAGUUUUGAGCUUUGCACUUAACAUUGGUAAGUUAUAAACCCAAAACUGUCCAGCUAAUCUGACCUCGCAAAUGGCAGGUCUGGAAUAAGAUGCUGGCAUAGGAUUAAACUCAGUUCAACUGAUGCGAUAAAGUACAAAUCGGCCUACAUUCUUGUGCAUUUAUCACGCAUUCAUGCAAUGUGAACAUGCGCUCAUAGCAAAUUAACAAGACAAGAAAUUCAAAGGAGAGCACUUAAGCAAAUAAUAGCAUUUUCUCAAGUCAUGCAUAAUCAAAUAACAUGCCUAGUUCAUCCUCUUGAACUCUCUCGAGUCCUGUGAUCAUAUACUAUAUUAAAAAACUAGCAAUACAAAGCCAAAAUACAUGAAGAAAUUAAGGUUUCAAAACUUCAUUUAGAAAAUGCAUCAAUUUAUAAGUUUUAUGCCCGUAUAACCUAUCAAAAUAUAAUAUUUUCUUGUUGCAAUCGAGGAGAAAACCUCGUGUGCUUACUAAAUCAAUGUUGCAAAAGUCAUUUGGAAUACAAGAGUAUCGAUUAUAGUCAAACGUUUGAAGAAAUUAGAACAAGACUUUCAAAAUACAAAGUUGGAAAUUGUCCGACCUAAAAUGAUUUGAAAAACUCAUUUCCUUUCAUUUAAACCUCAAUUCCACUCAUAAAACCAAGCUCAAAAUGGUUUAACAUCUCCAACUUAAAGUUGGAAAUGGAAGCAAGAACAAGUUUAGAAAACAGAAUUUUCUCCAGUUUUGUGCAAGUUUCUUAAGUCCAAAAUUUAUAAACUUUAUGCCGUUGGAAAAUAGACUCAAAGGACUAAAAUUUUCUAGAAUACAUAUUUGUAAGAUUCUGUCCAUAAAUCAAUCAAAUUCUAGUCUCAAGUUGCUGUUUCAUCAAGUAGAAAAACAGAGCAAGUGUGAAAAUUCAGUCAAUUUUGAAAAAUCAUAGAUAUUUAUAGGAAUUGAGAAAAAUUCUGAAUUUUCAUGGUAGAAUCCACUCUGAAUCUAUUUUCAAAUGCAAUAAGCGAAACUCAAUUUGGAUUUUUAUACACCAAGAUAUAACAGAUUUUCCAAGACUGCUUAGAGUCUCCUGCGGAAAAAUUUCCAGCAACACUUUCCCUUAUUUUCUUAACUUUUCCAUCCAAACUCAACACCAAUAUUUAUAGGUUUAUAGCAAUCCAACCUCAAGCACAAUCACAAGUUAUAGGCUAUAAAGUAUACUUGUUUAAGGCCACAAAACCAUCCAAUAUAGCCAAUUUCAAGCUCAAGAAUCAACCACAACAAAGCUGAAAUUUUCCAUAAGCAAGCCAAAAUAACUUGUAAAAGCUAGAAGAUUCACAUGGCAUAGCUACUAAAUCAUGGCCAAGCUCAAAGCAUCAUAUAAAAGCUGAAAUUUCACCAUCAAAGCUGAAAUUUUUUAAUCACCACUCAAACCAUGAAAUUUCUCAUGAAAACUACCAAAAUCAAGCUCUAAAUCCACUCUUAUGCAAGUAUUAAAAGAAAAGAGGGUUUCUUGAUAUAGUUACCUUGAAACCCAUGAAGAUAUGGCAACCAAGUUCUUCUUCCUCCAAAAUCCUUCCACCAAAACCCUUAAUCCUCCCUAAGUGUCAACUUUUAUGGAGUGAUUUGCAAGAUUAAGGUAAAAACUGAAGAUUCAAGUAAGAAUUAGAGGUUGAAGAUGAAGUUUUCCUUCCUUUUUUUCUCUCCAAGGAGUCGGCCAAGACAGGGGAAAAGAUUAUAGGAUUUUUGGUCAAUUUUUGGUUAAUAAAAGGUUAAGAAAGGUCUUAGUCAAAAUCAAUGGUCCAAUGCUUUAAUGACAAAUAGCAUCCAAGGGUUAAUCCUCAUCCUAUUGUCUUCCAAUCACUAAAAUAUCUAGCCAACCUCUAAUUAUCCCUUAACACCUUACAAAAUAAUAUCCGUUUGCACAAAACUCCUUCUAAUUUUUAAAAAUUUAUCGCAUGCACCUCAGUAGUGGGUCGUACUUCCAUAAUGUAUUACGAAAUUAACAUGUACUAAUUUAUACAAGAAAAAUAAUUUAAAAACUUGACUCACCUAUAAAAAUAUUUAGGAAAUGAAGACAAUACGGUAAAGUAACGAAAAUGUAUUCGAAGAAAUAAAAUAAAAUAAAAUAAGAAAAUUUUUUCGAGUCCUCACAACCAGAACCACUUGAUUCUAGCCAAGCUGAAGGUAACAUGGUAAACCAAGGGAUGGGAGGAUUUAAAACCUUUGAAGCAAGGAGAAAAGACAGAACUAUAAAGGGAUCAAGAACUCCUCCUCAGCCUUUUAAAUGUUAAUAGAGGUCUGGAAUAUAAGAGGAUUGAAUGAUCCUCUAAAGCAAAAGAAAAUUGUGAGUUUAAUAUAGGUAAGAGUGUGCAAAAUCGAAAAAUUUCGAUUUACCGACCGAAUUCGAAUUGAAUUGGAAUUUUCAAAAUCGGUAAAUCGGAAUUCGACACUGAAAUUGAAAUUUUUUAUUUCAAAUUAUGCGAAUUUGGUUCGAAUUCAGUAAUGAAAUUUUCGAUUUCGAAUUCAUAAUUCGAAAUCGAAAUUUCUGAUUUCAAUUUCGUUUUAUAAUAUAUAUAUUUAUAUAUAAUAAUAUUUUUUAUUUCAAUUUCAUUUUAUAAAUAUAUAUACAUAAUAAUAAUAUUUUUUAUUUCAAUUUCAUCUUUAAUAUAUAUUAUUAUAUAUAUUUAUAUAUAUAAUAAUAUUUUUUAUAAUAUAUGUAAUAUAAAAUUUAUAUUAUAUAACAAUACAUCUAACAAUAAAGGAAAAAAGGUUUUCGAAUUCAGUGAAUUCGGACUUUGCCGAAUUUCGAAUUGAAUUCGAAAUCGAAUUCAAUUGGUAAUUCUGCUGCCAAAUUUUUGAAAAAUUCAUAAUUCAAGCUUCUAAAUUAUUGAAUUCGAAUUCGUUGCACAUCCCUAAAUAUAGGACUAAAAUCUAAACCUGAUUGGUAUUACUGACAUAAAGCUUAUAAGUCACAAGGUGGAUAAUGUCUUAUCUAGCUAUUUGCAUGGGUGGCUAUAUAUUCAUACUACUCAUUUAUGAGUUUUGAUAGAUUGUGUGUGGGUUAGAAUCUAGACGAUGUUCAAGUCACAAGGCUCUCUAGUCAUCAUCAAGCUAUUAAUGUUCAAGUUACUCCUAAAAGUAAUCUAAAGAGCUUCUUCUAAUCUAUUGUGUAUGCCAUAAAUGACUCUCUAAUUAGAAGGCCUCUCUAGUAGGAAUUGACAAUCUAUGCUAUCAAAUUUAUGGGGAUCCAUCGAUGUUGAUGAGAGGUUUAACAUAGUCAGGUUUUGCCCUGAAAAAUUGGGAGGAAGUGGACAUGAUUUGGAUGCUAUGAAGAAGUUUAAUAACUAUAUCGAUUCUAUUGAUAUAGAGGAUGUUCCUUUAAAAGGAAUCACCCUUACAUGGUGUAAUAGAAGGGAAAAUGAAGUAAGAAUUUAUAGCAAGUUAAUAGAGUAAUGGCAAAUGAGCAAUGUUUUUCUAGUUUCAAAGGGUUGGAGGUGGAGUUUUAUGUCCUAUUAUAUCAGAUCAUACACCUACUAUCAUUACUUUUGUGGAUGAUGUCAAGUUUGGACCAGAGCCUUUCAAGUUCCAUAUGAAAAGCAGUGAAUAUAAAGAUUGUCUAUGUAGGGUCUAGAAAUUCUCUUAUGGUACGGAACCUAUGAAAGCUGUCUGUCAGAAACUCAAGAUGUUGAACGUGGUAUCAAAAAAAAUAAACACUAAGCAUUUCAGUAAUAUUUCACAGAGAGUUCAACACACUAAGGAACAACUUUGUGAGGUUCAAUGUCGUCUUCAAAAUUCUUCUUUUGAUGAUAUUUUAUAGUAGGAAGAAAGAGCAUUGAUACUCCAAUAUAUUGAGCUAAGGUUAAUUGAGAAGCAAUUCUUUAAAGCAAAAUCUAGAGUGAAAUGGCUGACUGAAAGAGAUCAAAACACAUUUCUUUCAUAGAACUAUGAAACAACACCAUUGCAAGAACAAGAUUAUGUAUGGAUGGCAGAUAAUUGAUCGACUGUGAAGAGGUGAAAAAGGAGGCUGCUAAAUUCUUUACACACCUUUUUGGUGAUCCAGAUUCAGGUUUGAAUGAACACCUAUCUGCUUUGGGUUCUUUAAAUCUUUCGAAACUAUCGGAGGAACAAUAGCAUAUAUUGAAGGCUCCUAUAAUUGAUAUUGAGAUAAAAAAAAUUCUUUGUUCAAAAUGAAAAAGGUACUGCACCUAGCCCUGAUGGAUUUACAAUUGAUUUCUUUACCUUAAAUUGGGAUAUAGUUGGUGAGGAGGCAUUAAAAGUUGUUAAGUCUUAUUUUUCUCCAAAUCAUCUCUAUGGUCUUGUAAAUUCUACUAUCAUUACUCUUGUUCCAAAACUUGAGAAAUCUGCAACUAUGAAAGAUUUUCGCCGAAUUGCUUACUGUAAUAUUCUAUAUAAAUAUUUUUCUAAAAUUCUUAUAGAAAGAAUCAAGGGUGUCUUACCUUCUCUUAUUGGCAAACAGCAAUAUGCUUUCAUGAAAGGGAGGUCCAUUAGUGAUAACAUUCUGUUAAUGCAUGAGAUCAUCAAAAAAAUAUCAUCUCAUGAUUGGUAGGCCUAGAUUGGUUGUCAAAAUGGAUGUAAUAAAAGCCUAUGAUUCAAUCAAAUGGCUUUUCUUGAUUGAACUACUUUAUUUGAUGCACUUUCACCCUACGUUUAUACCGUAGAUAAAGAAGUCUAUGUUGAUUUUAGUCCCUAGCUUUUGAUGUUUACAAAACAAAUGGAUGAUACUAAUAUCUCUUCAAGAUAUACUUUCAGUUAUGAAGCAAAUCAGAUUUAAAGAUCAAGUGCAAUUGAAAGAAACAAAAGUUGUUGAAAGCUGUCGGACGCUUGUGAAGACAGGAUCGGACGCCCGAUAAUCAUUGCACAAUUUCGGACGCAUGAAAAACUCCAUCACUGGACGUCCGAAGGAAAUAAGACAUUCCCCCUAACUUACUGACUUCGAUCGGACGCAAGCAUCGGACGUCCGAUAGAAUCCUUCAAACUCUUUGUCUGCUAUCGGACGGAAGUACCGGACGUCCGAUAGGAUCGUUCAAACUCGACGAAACUGUCGGACGCUCACAAGGACAAUACCGGACAUCCGAUGGAAUUGAAGAAAAUUUCUCAAACUCACUGUCAGCUGUCGGACGCAAAAAACAGGAGUAUCGGACGUCUGACACUCCCAACGGCUAGUCAACUCUUCAGCUACUUUCUAUCCGUUGGAAACAUUAAUGAAGCACUUUCCUGGUUUCCUAUAAAUAGAGCAUGGUCAGAAACUCCAAAUAACUUUUGCACAUUGAAGAUACAAAAGAUCUAGAGUAGUUUUAGUGAGAAAACACUCUCCAAAGAAGAUUUGUAGUCUUGGUGGUGUGAAAUUCAUUGUAAGCUUUUCAUUUGUGAGUGAAUACUUCAAUAGUGUAGCUCUGUGAGGGUUGUCCUGAGGGAUAGUAAAACUUCCUUGUUUGACCGAGUGGAGUUUGGGGUAAGGAGGAAGUGAAUCUUCCUUUGUACACAAGAUUGGUUGUACUUCAUCAACUUGAAGAAGCUUGUUCUAUAAAUUGAUCUACAAGCUCAAGAGGAGUUUGAUAGUCAAUUGGUUUGCAAUUCUUCCCUUCUUAUUUACUUAUUGUUAUAUUGUGAUUUUUUAAUUGCUUAUUUCUUCUACUCCCAAGCAAUCGUACUUUCUUACUAAUUGCUACAUUGUGUGGUCACUUAGAAAAGAAGGUAAAUUUCAUUUUGAGCAAAAAAUGCCUAUUACUUGAUUAGCUUUUUAAUCAACCUAAUUCACCCCUCUUAGAUUGUCUUCGAUCUUAACAAUUGGUAUCAAAGUUUGGUCUCCUUGAGAUUAAGCUCAAUCGGCUUAGAAGUAAAAAUGACAACCAAUAAUGCCAUAUUUUUUGAAGGACAUUCUGUCAUUAGACCACCUAUGUUUAAUGGGUCAAAUUAUGUGAGUUGGAAAGAAAGAAUGAUUAUCUUCUUGCAAUCGAUUGAUAUUGAAUUGUGAUUUAUUAUUAGUGAAGGUCCAUAUGAUGCCUCUCUUAUAGAUGAAAAUACUCAUAAAUCUAAACCAAAAACUAGAAAUGAACUGACUGUUGUGGAUAGAGCUCAUCUCACCUUAAAUGCGAAAGUCAUGAAUGUGUUAUAUUGUGCUUUAGAUUCAAAUGAAUCCAUUAGGGUCAAAGGGUGUAAGUUCGCUAAAGAAAUCUGGGACAAAUUUAGAGAAGUUUAUGAAGGAAGUGAGAAUGUGAAAGAACAAAAGAAGUCUAUUCUGGUUACCAAAUAUGAAUCGUUCAAGAUGGAACCUCAUGAAAACAUUGAUAAGAUGUAUUGUAGAUUCAAUGACCUCAUUAAGGAUUUAGAGGUGCUGGAAAAGGAAUACUCUCUAGGCGAGAAAAAUAGAAAAAUUCUGAAUGCUUUAUCAAAGGAUUGGGAGAGUAAAGUGACUGCCAUUGAAGAAGCUAGAGAUCUAAAUUCCUUGCCUAUUGAAUCUCUUAUUAAUUCUCUAAUCUCUUAUGAGCUGAAACUUAAGUCCAAAACAUAAGAGGAAGAGGAUGCGAAAGUAAGAAGGAGCAUUGCUUUAAAGGCAUCUCAAGAUGAAAAUGAUUCUGCCUCCCUAGAUGAAGAAGAUGCGGAAGCUGAUGAUAGUGAUCUAGCUCUCAUCACAAAAAACUUCAAGAGAAUCCUCAACAAACGAAGGUUCAGAAAAGAAGGAAACAACAACUCAUUCCCAAAUCAGUUCAGCAAUACAAGAAACAAAGGAAAGCAAGAGUUCAAUAAAAAGUAAACUGAUAAUUGCUUUGAAUGCGGCCAACCUGGACACUACGUGAGUGAGUGUCCAAUGAAAAAGAGGAAAGUUGAAAGAAAAUCAAGAUUCAACAACUUUCAAUUCAUAUGGAAUGAGUGCAACUCCGAUGGUGAAAUUGAAAAGGAAGAAGAAUUUGCUCAAUUGGCUUUCAUGGCCAUUGGAGAUGAUGAGGUAACAACUUGUAACUCUCAAUUUGAUAGUGAUGGUGAAACUUAUGAUGAUCUUGAAUCUUUCAUUAAAAAGUUACAUGAUAGUUUGAAAGAAUCUUAUACUAGAAACAAGGAAUUAAAAUACAAAAUUUGUUUUCUUCUUCAUGAUAAUACAGGCCUUAUUCAAGAAAACAAGAUGCUGAAAACUGAAAAUGAUUUCUUGAAAAAAAAUGAGAUUGAUUUACAAAAAAAGUUUGAUAGAAAAACAAGACUUUGUGAAAUGUUCAAAAAGGAACAAGAUAAUCUGAAAAAAAGAAUGAAUAAUUUAAAUGGAUUACUCCAAUAUAAGAAACAAAACUGCUUUCAAGAAAAUGGAACAAAACCUCAUUUUGGAACUUAUAAGAAGAAGAUAAAUUCUGCUGCAAAUGAUUUUGCUGUUUAUAAGAGAAAACAAGUAAGAUUUAUUAAACCUGUUCAUAUAAAUAACUCUUUGAUUAUGUGUAAUUUUUGUUGUAAAAAAGGUCACAUGAAAAGCGAUUGAUAUGUGAGAAAGAACAUGAGAAAAGGCAUGAAAUGCAUGUGGAUAGUUAGACAUGAUGCUAACUUUCAAGAAUUCAAAAAUUAAAGGGUACCAAAUAUUAGUUCUUGAACUCUUGAGUAGGUGAAUUUGGUGAACAUUACUAAGGAAUCAAAGUGGGUGCUCAAGAUACAUGAUCGGUGAUCCAUCACAUUUCAUCAAAUUCAAGCCAAAGUCUAGUGACAAAGUGACAUUUGGAGAUGACAUGAAAACUAAAACAAUUGGAGUAGCAGAUAUUGGUAAGAUCGGUGAGAUUCUUCUUCAUAAUGUUCUUUUGCAAUUUUCUUUUGAUGUUUCUGAUAUUUUGAACUGAGUUUUCCUUGAUAUUUUUGAAUAUGACUAAACUUUUAUAAUGACAAAAAGGGGGAGAAAUGAAUGAUACUGAUCUAAUGAUAAUUUUCUUUGAUAAUUAUUUUGAUUGUUAUUUCUCUGUUUGGUAUCAAUUUUCUAUUUUUUGGCUGAUGAUUGCUAACUGUUAGUAUGUUGAUAAUUGCUGAAUUUUGAUAUCAUUUUUCUAUUUUUGUUUGAAAUAUUGGAUUCUCUGUUAUUGUUGCCGGGUUAUGGUUACUGUUUUUUACUCUCAUCUUAUGAUGACAAAAAGGGGGAGAAAUAGAUGCAAUGAGUAAGGGGGAGCUUAUGCUCAAUCUUUUUUCUUUCUUUCAUCCAUUGUUUUGUCAUUAUCAAAAAGGGGGAGAAUGUUGAUCUUAGUCCCUAGCUUUUGAUGUUUACAAAACAAAUGGAUGAUACUAAUAUCUUUUCAAGAUAUACUUUUAGUUAUGAAACAAAUCAAAUUCAAAGAUCAAGUGUAAUUGAAAGAAACAAAAGUUGUUGAAAGUUGUCGGACGCUUGUGAAGACAGGAUCGGACGUCCGAUAAUCAUUGCGUAACUUCGGACGCAUGAAGAACUCCAUCACCGGACGUCCGAAGGAAAUAAGACAUUCCCCCUAACUCACUGACUUCGAUCGGACGCAAGCAUCGGACGUCCGAUAGAAUUCUUCAAACUCUUUGUCUGCUAUCGGACGGAAGUACCGGACGUUCGAUAGAAUCGUUCAAAUUCGACGAAAGCUGUCGGACGCUCAUAAGGACAAUACCGGACAUCCGAUAGAAUUGAAGAAAUUUUCUCAAACUCACUGCCUGCUGUCGGACGUAAAAAACAACGGCUAGUUGACUCUUCAGAUACUUUCUAUCCGUUGGAAGCAUUAAUGAACCACUUUCUUGGUUUCCUAUAAAUAGAGCAUGGUCAGAAACUCCAAAUAACUUUUGCACAUUGAAGAUACAAAAGAUCUAGAGUAGUUUUAGUGAGAAAACACUCUCCAAAGAAGAUUUGUAGUCUUGGUGGUGUGAAAUUCAUUGUAAAUUUUUCAUUUGUGAGUGAAUACUUCAAUAGUGUAGUUCUGUGAGGGUUGUCCUGAGGGAUAGUAAAACUUCCUUGCUUGACCGAGUGGAGCUUGGGGUAAGGAGGAAGUGAACCUUCCUUUGUACACAAGAUUGGUUGUACUUCAUCAAUUUGAAGAACCUUGUUCUAUAAAUUGAUCUACAAGCUCAAGAGGAGUUUGGUAGUCAAUUGGUUUGCAAUUCUUCCCUUCUUAUUUACUUAUUGUUAUAUUGUGAUCUUUUAAUUGCUUAUUUCUUCUACUCCUAAGCAAUCGUGCUUUCUUACUAAUUGCUAUAUUAUGUGGUCACUUAGAAAAGAGGGUAAAUUUCAUUUUGAGCAAAAAGUGCCUAUAACUUGAUUAGUUUUUUAAUCAACCUAAUUCACCCCCUCUUAGGUUGUCUUCGAUCCUAACAGUCUGUGACUACAAUCAACUUUUGCACUCAAUUUGAUGGGUCUUUGGUCGGAUAUUUUAAAAAUGAGAAGGGGUUAAGGCAUGGUGAUCCUAUCUCACCUUACCUAUUUGUAUUGGUGAUGGAGGUCUUCUCUCGCAUGUUGACUAAGAAUGUCCAAAAGCAAGGCUUUGAUUAUCAUCCGAAGUGUGAAAUAUUGCAUCUGACCUAUCUCAAGUUUGCUGAUGACCUAUUUUUGUUGGGAGCUGCUAUUGAAAGAUCUAUAAAUGUUUUCAAAGAAACAUUAUUGGAAUUUCAACAGGUUUCUAGUCCAAAACCAAAUCUCUAAAAGAGUGAAAUGUUCUAUGCAGGCUUUUUGAGUGAAAAACAAAUGCUAAUGAGUAAGAUGUUGGAGAUGCCUUUGAGUACAUUACCUAUAAAAUACUUGGGCAUAUUACUCAUAUCUACAAGAUUUACAGCUAAAGAUUGCACCACAUCGAAGGACAAGAUCAUUGCCAAAAUUAGAGGUGUAGACACUAAAAUUUUCUUAAUUCCAAGUAUACUAUUUUUAUUUUUCACUUAUAAAUUGCAUAAAUAAUUAUUUUAAUUUUUGUUUUGUAGGUUUGUGCAAAAAGAAAGAAAAGAAAAAGUAAAAUGGAUGUUCAAAAUUGAAGAAUUUGGUAGAGAUUUUUAUUGUGUUUCAAACACAAUAAAAGAAAAACCAAACCCAACCACAAAACCUACAAAAAAUCCACCCAAAAUCCAAAUGAAAUCCAAACAAGACCCUAUGCAAAAACACAACAAAAAGCCUACUCGAAGCCUAGCCAAAGCCUGGAAAGAAAGAAAAUAAGAGAAGGCUCGAUUGAUCCAAUUCCUUUCUUUCCUAAACAAAAAAAACUAUUGCUUCAUGUGCGUGUGCGCGCCAUAUUCUUCCUAUUUUAGCAGACGAAGGAACCAGUACAAGAAGAAACUGUGAGCAGUUUCUUUCAUAGUAAGAAUUUUUUUUUCCUUCUUUCUUUCUCCCCAAGGCUGGGUUGGUACAAGAACAGCUCAUUGCAUCCCAAAUUCUAUCUUUUAAGAUUCAAAAAAAGGACACCUCAUCAUUUCUAGAAAAUUCAUCCUACCUAUCAUUUCUAGAAUUUAGGGUUUUUUGAUUUCAUAUAAAUAAGAAACAAUGCAGCUUUUAGGGUUUAAGAGCAACUUUUGUGUUGAAACCUUUUGCUGAUAAUCAUUAAAACCCCUUCAAAUUGAAGCUCAAAUUCACCCUCCUUGAAAAAGUUUUCUGCAAAAGUGGGAACAGGCUGGUCGACAAGCCCUGUUCAUCCUCAUUUUCCCACUUCGUUUGAGAAAUUUGGAAUGAGUUUUGUUUUACUGCACCUUCUAGGAUCAUAGUAGAAUGAUUUUGUUGUUGAAAGUUUUUAGGAAAAACAGUUCUAAGGCCCUCAAAUCAAAGCUUGAAAUCGUCAUCCUCACAACUCUUGGCACCAGUAGCAGUCAUCAGGAUUUUUGCUGCACUUCGAUUUUUGCGAGUUUUCCCAAAAUUUUUCACUCUCAAUCUGAUUCCAUAAGCAUCAGAGGUAACAUUUAUUCACUUUUCUUGUUGAUUCCAACUUGUAUAAGAUCUAAGUUUAUCAUAUAUGAAUUCCAAGUUCUUGUUUUUUUUUACCAAGUUUGAUGAUUUGAGUUUGUCUCUUGUUGAUGCUCACUCAAUGAUUUCCAAGCUUAAAAUGAUCUCUUUAGCCAUUUCAUUUGAAGUAGUAAAAUGCCGAAAACUAGGAAAAUGAACUUUAGCAUCAUUUGCAGCUUUGUAGCUUCUAAAACUAAACCCAUGUUUCCUGAUUUUGUGUUUGGGUUUGGAAUCUUUGAAGGAAAUUUAUUUUACUCAUGAACCUAGGGAGUAUAGGCCGCUUGAUUGUUUCCUUGCAUUGUAGAACUUGUGUUUUGGGUUAAAAUAAGAUAUAAAUUGGUUAACAAGAAUUAUUUCUUUAGUAGCUGUGCACGCUUGUUUCUUCUCCUCUCGGUAGGCUGCUGCAUAGAAUGAUGUUCAGACUUGUCAAAUUUGACAUGGGUUCUAAGAAGUUGGCAUUUUGAACCCCCCCCCCCCAAAUUUUGCAUAAUUGUCUUAAGCCCCAAAAAUCAUGAAAAUGAAUUAAUUUCUUUUUAUAUGUUUUAUGCAUGUUUUGUUUUGAGAGAAUUAAUUCUCUAAGUAUAAUUGGAGCUUAAAUAAAAUUUGUUAAAUUUAGAUUUUUAAUUAGACAACUUUAAAAAUUAAUGCAAAUAAUUUUGGUUUAAUGGGUUAGUGUUUUAUUUUCGCUUGGGUUUGUGACAUAGGAUUUAGAGUUCAAACCCGAUAUUUUUAUUAGAUUUAUGUUUAUAAACUGAAUUGGACUACGCUACUCUUUUCAAUAGGACAUUUUGCUUAUUUUUCAUGGGCCAAAGCGAAGCGGCCAAAAUGUAUAAAAAUGGCCCAACAUAUUGUUUUAAUGUAAUUAGAAAUAAAUUUUGCAAUUUAACCUCUAAUCUUUUGUGUAAUUUUAUUGUAAUCCUAAAAUUUUGGAUUUCUUUCAUUCAUGCCCUUAAUUUAAUUAUAUUUUGGCCCCUAAACUUUAUCUUUAUUUAAUUUUGACCCCUAAUCUUCUUGAGAAUUAUAAUUUGACCUCAAACACUUUCUAAUUUUUGUAAUUUAGUCCCUAUUAGUUUUCGAUUUCUCAAUUACAAUUGCUUCUCUUUUUUAAUUGCUAUUUAUACUUCAUUUAAAAUGCAUUUAAUUUGUAAAUUCUAAAUGUUUUAUGUUUAUGUACAUGUUUUUGUAAUAAUAAGGAGAAUUUAGUAUAUGUUCACGAUCUUUUAAAGUGUUGUCAAUUAAAUUGGUGCAUUAACCCAUUUGUUGAUUUUGAAAAAAUAAACAACUCUCCCUUCCCAUCACUUAGAAAAAGGGGAGGUACCCCUAUUAUCCUUUAAAUUCCUUUUAUGUGAUCCUACGUAUUUAUAUGUUUUAUUUGUUUUCAUUUUAUUUAUUUAUUUAAAACUUUUAUUCAUUUUAUUUUUGUUUAAUUUAAGUGUUAUGAUUAUUUGGAGGGCAUUUAAAUGCCCAAAUUGUAACGAGAUAGGUAAUGUAAUAGAUAUGUUUUAGUUUUGCAAGAAAUGUUAUUAGUUAGAUGAAUGUAAUAGAUAGGUUAGAUAGAUUUAUUAUCUUAUAUUUCCCCUUUUAGAUUGUAGUUAGGACCCAUAAUGUAAUAGUUAGGUCUUAUGUGCUUGUGUGUUUACAUAUUUAUGUGGUUUAUUCGUUUUCUCUAGAGUUUUACAACUAGAUAUUGUGCCUAUGUGUCUAUGUGCUCUAUAUGUUCUAUGUGCUUUAUGUUUAUUUGUUUUAAUUAUACUUUAUAUACUUUAUUUAUAAUGAGUACAUGACAUCAUCACACUAGUUAAUGCUGGUUGUGGCUUUUCUCCCCGAUUUCUCAUUAGUCCAAUGUUAGUGAGAACUUAUAGAAAUGGAUUAGUACAAUGCUAAACUCUUAACUAUUUACAUGUUAGAUUUAUAUUUUGUGUGACAUUUAUUGUCUUUCAUGCAUUUUUCCAUUUUAGGUUAUUUCCAUUUGCAUGAUAUGUCCUCUUAUUUUCGGUUAUUUCCAUGUGCACGAAUCAUAUCAUUUACACUUGCAUUUCAUUUAGAUAAUUAAAAAAAAAUUAUGUUAGCUCAUUUACUUGUCUAGAUUAGAAGUGUCACCUUUCAAAUAUGGGAAAUAAACAAUAUAGUUUUUUAGACUUAGCAUGCUAUUACUUCUCUAUAAGAAAAAAAAAUUGUGUUACGAAUUUUAGAUUUCCGUAUCUGUUAUGUUGCAUGCCCCUAUUCUAGAUCAUGUAUAUCAUAAAUUUUUUUUGGAAUCUCAUCUUUUACAUAUUCGUGACGUCAUCAAGAGAUUAUUCUUGGACUUCACAAUUAAUGUGAUUCGUACCAAUUAAAUUUUGAAGAAAUAUUUCAUCCCUCUUGAUACCCCCUAAGUUUAGAUUUGCAUCCAUAUAGAAACAUUCAAAUGUGAUAAAGUUUUAGAGGUUAGAUUAGGAAUUUUUUUGAUUAAAUCGCGCAAUUAGUAUUAGUUAAGUUAAAAGGGUGCCUUAGAUUUGAGUCGAUCAAAAUUUUGCUUUUCCUUUCUUUAACCAUAACUCCCAAACUCUUUUCUUUCAUAUUUAAAAACAUGGAGUCGUUUAAAAAGAUUUUAUUUGUUUUCAUUUAAAAUAUAUUUUGGGUGACUUGUUACACCUAAAUUCGAUAUUAAGUGGUGACUUUCUAAAAACCCUUUUUAGACUAUUAUUUUGGCUUCAAACCAUCGCAUAUUCUAAGUUUUAUUUUAGGCUUUUUUUUUUUUUUUCUAAAAUCAAAAACUCAUUUUUAACACAUCUCCUUUUAUUUCAAAAAAUAGAGCGUGACAAUGAGCUAGUAUGUUAAAAAGCUAUCUUAUGGAUCAUUGCCAGAAUUAGAGGCUGCUAUGUCAAAAAAUCAAGAGAAGAUUACAGGAUCUGAAGCCAACCCGGGCUAAGUCCAAACAACUUUUGGGCGAAAUCCACCAAGUAGAAAAGGCUAAUCCCUGAUAUGGGGACGAGCCCAAGCAUAUAAACCACUUCUUUUCCUUCCAAAAAUCCGAUGUGGGACUAAUAUCUUUAGGGACAGCAGUUCUGGCCUCACACCUGGGACUAAAUCCGAUGUGCACAUGACCUUAUCACGGAAUCUGGCUAAACCAAGUGUGCAAAGUAAAAGAAAGACAAACUGAACCUAUUACAGUAUCAAGUUUUCCUUUUGUUUUUAGUUUUUUGUCUAUAUUUUUUAUUUCUUUGAGUCAAUUCAUGGGUUCAAGCACGAAACACACAGAGGGACCAAAAUGGUGUUAGCACCUACUGGUACUUACAUUUUCUUUUUUGGAUAUCCAUCGUCUAAUGCGGUUAAUUUUUCUUACUCCUUUUCAACAUAUAUAGAAUAAGAGCCGAAGGCCUCUUGUGACCUGGAAUGGUUUUCGUCGUCCUCGCACGUGCCGCACAUGUGAGUCACCAGCCCUUUUUUUUCUACGCGAUGCUCCACACGUCUGCAUAUACUUCCUCUCUAGGGUUUUCUUAAAUUUCCUCUGCUGCCGCCGCCUUCUCUUCUCCCCUUCUCUCUUCGCCUCACCUUUAUUCUCAGAAGCUCCGUCUCCUCUACUUUAUUUUCUCUUCUCCAAAACAUUCGAUCUCUCAUUUUUUUCCCCUUUCUCUCGGUUUUGUGUUAAAGCCUUCAUUGCAUUGAAUUUUUUCACUUUUUUUAGGUUGCAACUAGAAUGAUUUUUAAUUUCUGGACUCUUAUUCUCCGUCUAAGAUGGAGUUGGAAGCGCCUCACCCGAGAGUCUCUUCACUCGAAAAAGCCCAUUUCCCGAUUUUGACACAUCUGCUCUGGAGUUCGUCUAUUCUUUUACUCCGGCGACCCAUAAAUGCCGCCACCUUGCCCGCCUUCCACGAAUUAUUCUUUUUUCGUCUCGUUGCCGCCCAUUCUCGUGUUCAGAGUGAUUGAUUGUGGUAUGUUCUCCGAUUACAGUUAGCAUUUUGAGAAUCUAACUUAGAGCUUAUCCACUUCAAUCUUUGAAUGUUGCACCGCUAAAACCCUAGGUUUGGCACACUACCGGAUUUCUGGAAUUCCGGAGAUCUGGUAAUAAUAGAAUAUCUUCUUCUCUCUCUCUCUCUCUCUCUCUCUGGUUGUGUUUUAAUUUUUUUUGUUAACAUAACAACCAAGUUGAGUUUCCCUGGCAUUUCAUUAUGCAAUACAGGUUGCUGAUUUGGGUUCUUUGGAACUCUCACCAGUGGAUGGCCGAACGUUGACUGAUUUUAUGCAUACAAGAGGCCUUAGGAUGCGUUCUCUUGGACAAGUUGUAAGUGGUUUUACAGUGAUGUGGAUUUCCCACAUUGUACUAGAUUCUUUUACAUCAGAUAUGCAGUAUUAGCACCAUGUUUUCUGUGCAUUAUAACUAAUUUGCCAUGUAUCACUUCCAGUGGUACUGAAAUUGCACAGUUGAAAUUCAAUUGCAAAAACCUUUACCAUUCACUAGAGGAGAUGAGAACAAUUGUUCAAUUUCAACCUCUCACUGGAAAACAUAUUAUGUUUGUAUAGAAAAUGGAUUUUGUAUAGCAUCCUUGUUAUAGUUAUUUAAAAAACUAAGAAUAAUAGUUCUGUGCAUUAUUGUUGCACUUUAAUCUUUAUUUUCUAAAAAAGCUGUUUCCUGUAAUAUGGUAUAGUUCUAAUAUGUACAUUAAACAGUUGCUCUGAAAAAAAUAUGUUGAUCUAUGGUUGUUUCUCUAAUAAAAUAGGUAAAAUGCUAAUUAAAUGUGGUAGGAUAUUUUUACAAUUUAAAUGCAGCAAUGUCUCUUAGUAAUGUGCAUUGCCAACAAGAUGCAAAUGUUUGGCUUAGAUUAGAUGGAGGAAACAUGAAUACUAGCAAGAUAUGCUUUUUUCAUUUGAUUUUGUACAAAUGUACUUUAUCUUAUUAGCAUAUUAUGGAUAGUCUGCUUUAUGAUAGUCUUUGGCACAAACACGCUACCUGUUUGUUCUACUUUGGUCUCAUUGAGGUUCAAUUGGUCUUUGGACAAUAUAGAGCCUGAUAAAUCUAUUAACUAGAGAAGUCAAUGCUUUAGUCUAUGUCUCAUUAACAUUCUUUUUCUUCAAUCUUCUGAACAUGCAGCAUCCAACUCCUGAUCCUUACGUUUGCCUGGAAUACGCCAGCACUAAAUUCCGUACCCGUACCCACACAGGUAUGUAAUUCUUAUUAUUUCCUCUUUUUAUCUUUGUUUGAUUGUUUUUUCAAUUACUACUAAUAUUCGAGCUUGUAAGAAAACUCUCCAUUUUGUUGCCUAACUAUUCUAUUCUACUGCUACUUAAUUACUUAUGUAGACGGUGGAAAAAACCCUACUUUUCAAGAGAAAUUCAUCUUCUCCUUGAUUGAAGGGCUAAGGGAGAUCACUGUUGCUGUUUGGAACAGCAAUACCAUUACUUAUGAUGAUUUUAUCGGCAAUCGAAAGUAAUAAUGUUUUCUUUAACUUUCUGCCUUUUGUUUUCCCUGCAUUCUAUUCGUUGUAUUAGUUUGAGUAUUUUCUUUUUAUUCUAUACUUUUAGAUGAUUUAUUAUUUUUUUCCAAUUAUUGUUAAUCUAUUAGGGUUCAGCUGCAGAAAGUUCUUUCUCAGGGAUUUGAUGAUAGUUCUUGGCCACUUCAAACUAAAACCGGCAGGUAUACUCUGCAAAAGAUAAAAAGGGACAAUUACCUACCAUAUUCAUUCUUUUGUAGGUUAAUACAUACUUGAGCAUUUAAACAUAUGGUGUGUGUGUAGGGAAAAUACCUAAUAGUAUUUUCUGCUCCAUCUUGCCAUUUGGGUAUUAAUAAGUAGGAGAAAGAUAUUUUGCAAACUGAAACUGCUUUGGAGUCAAACACUUUAGAAGUCUAGAAGGUUACAUUGGUUCGAGCUUUUGUGGAUUAGCACAUAUUUUCAAAGCGACAUCUCAUUUUUUUUCCUUUCGCUUGGUUUUAUGUUAAAACCUUCAUUCCAUUGAAUUUUUUUCACUUCUUUUUAGGUUGCAGCUGGAAUAAUUUUUAAUUUCUGGACUCUUGUUCUCCGUCUAAUAUAGAGUUGGAAGUGCAGAAACAUCUUCCGCCACUUGUUUUGUUUUUUGCCCUUUUUAAGGUACUAUCUUCUUUGUUCUGAUGUUCUUUCCCAUUUUUCUAUUUCCUUUGUUCAAGCUUUUGUGGAUUAUCCCUUGUUCGAGCUUUUGUGGAUUAGCCCAUAUUUUCAAAGCGACAUCAUCUUACAAGUUUUCCCAUCCUUGAUGGAUAGGGGCAAACUUGAUGCUUUAUUAUAGGUUUUGCUUAUCAUGCCUUGAUUUUUUUGAUGUAGAAAAUGUUCAAUUUAGCAAAUUAAUAUGCCUUUCAUCCUUUUCUUCUGCCUUUUGUUUUAUUACAGGGGAAGGAAUAUGUAUUUGUUGCAAAUUCAAAUAACUUGGAUGCAGCUAUUGAUUUAAGUAUCCUUGAUUAGUCUGAUGGCCUGACAUCUGUUUCCCAAUAUAUAAUGCUUAAUCACUUGAUUAGUCUGAUGAUCCUUGUUCUUGGGGAAGAGACACCACUAGCAUAAAUAAGGCUCAGUAUUACGAUAAAGUCUGAGCCUCUUGGGGCUUGAGACCUUAAAGAGUCAAAACUCAGGAAAAAUGAAUGGAUGAGGCACCCAGAGGGCCAGGCAGUUUUUCAAAGUGUUGUUUCCCCUUUCUGUUUUGCCAAUGAUUUCCAAUUUUUGUUGUCUAUACAGAAAGAAAAUAGAAAAUCACAGCCCUUUCUAAGCAGACAGAUAGAUACAAUAGUAUUAUUUCUUGAACUGUGCAUUUGGAAAUGGAAUUUGAAUUGGGGACUUCAUUUGAUUAUCUUUGAAAGUGCUUGUCGAGAAGUCAUCACAUUUCAUGGAAACUUUUCAUUGUUGAUGUGAUCACCUUCGACAAAGCAUUUUUCUUCAUCAGGGCUUUGUUGUUUAGUGAAGGUUUUUGGCUGUGAUGAUAGAGUUAUUUUCUUGAGUUGUUGGCAUAGAGUUAAAUCGGGUUGGUUUCUGGCUGUGAUGAUAGAGUUAUUUUCUUGAGUUGUUGGCAUAGAGUUAAAUCUGACCCGUAUCUUGGCUAGGCAACCCUGAUGGCAUGUGAUCUGAGAGGGGGUGGGCUUUCAAUUAGCUCCUCCUUUCUCCCUCACAUAUGCAACUAGGAAAUUGCAGCGAUGGCGUUGUCGCCUCGUCUUUUGCCUUGUCUUGUUACAGAUCUGAACCUACUCCAAUACUCACAUAGUGUAUGAUGAUGGACCUUUAUCAUGUUCUUUAUAUUUUUCAUGAAAGAUUUCCCCUGCUUAAUUCCUUAAAUUCCAUAACCUUUUGGUAUCUCAUGUUACUUUCUUUGUUUUGGUGUAAAAAUGAUUGCCUUCUGCACCACUAUUGCAGUUUUUUAACAAAAAGUUCAACAAUUCUAGAACUAAAUCACUGGUAUUUUUGUAUUUGUGAUCUACCUUUUAGGUUGCUGUAACCUUAAAAGUCCUUCGGUACUUACCCUCAAUAAAGGUGAAUUAUUUAGAAUUGCUUUGACUGUUUGGCUAAGUAUGUAUAAUCCCCUUGGCGUUGAGAUUAUCAAAAAAGAAAUAUGACUUGUAUUAACUCAGCUAAAAUCUCAUCUUUACAGAAAAAAGGAGAAUUACAAAUGAAAUCAAUUGGUAUGGCCCCUUAAUCUCUUUUUAAUAUCCUAAGCUACUAAGGUUGCCCUAUUAUAAACAUUUGGCAUUAUAAUUACUUGUGCAUCAAUUUUUGUUCUUUUUUAUGGUUUCCUUUGUCAACAUAUGUAGAAUAAGAGCCGAAGAGCUCUUUGGUUGGGUUUUAUCUUAACCGUCUUCUCACAUGCCGCUCACAUGAGUCACCAGCCUUUUUUUAUCGCGCGAUUGCUAGACGUCUACAUAUACUUGCAGGCGUCUACAUAUGAUGCUUAAUCACUUGCUCUAGAAUACUUUUCAUUGUUGAUGUGAUCACCUUUGACAAAGCACUUUUCUUCAUCAGGGCUUUGUUGUUUAGUGAAGGUUUCAGGCUGUGAUGAUAGAGUUAUUUUCUUGAGUUGUUGGCACAGAGUUAAAUUCGACCUGUAUCUUGGCCGGGUAACCCUGAUGGCAUGUGAUCUGAGAACGGGGGGCUUCAAUUAGCUCCUCCUUUCUCUUUCACAUAUGCAACUGGGAAACUGUAGCCAUGUCUUUGGCCUCGUCUUGUUACAGAUCUGAGCCUCCUUCGGUACACACACAGUGCAUGAUGAUGAUGCUUUAGCAUGUUCUUUAUAUACUGUACCAAUAAUUUGAUCCAUGAGAAUGACAUGGCCUUCUUGAGAAUCAAGGAAAAUUUAUCCUAUGAUUUCAUGGCGUUCUGCACUUUCCUUUGCCUAUGUUUUCAAGCAUUGCAUUCAAUGUUGAAGCAUGUGAUUUUUUGUUCAGACAUCAGCCCAAUUUAUGUACUAUCACCUCCUCCAUAAAUCAGUUUCUGCAGCACGAUUGGACAUCAUUUGUUUCUUUCUAUCAGUUUUAUACAAGUGGUUCUAAGGUCUGCUUGGUAAGUGCUUUCCUUUAUACAAUUUGUUCAUAACUACAUUCUUUAGUGAUCUAACAAACAUUUGUUUUUAUUUUUUUAAAUAGGCCUUUCCACAAUAUGCUGAUAUUUGACUACGUGAAGGCACAACACCAACAGUGAUUUUUACAAGUGGCUAUAAAACGUAUUGCAUUGGCAUGAAACAAAGAUCCUUCGACAAGAAUUGGGCCACUUUUGCAGCCGAACAUGUUUUUUGCCCCGGAGACAUAUUGCUUUUUAUUCCACAAUCGCUCAUCUCUUUUGGUGUUAUCAUAUUCAACAAAAAGGGCAUUGAAAAACUAUAUUCAUGGCAUUUUAAUUUCACUAUUCAUCUAACUUAGUCCAUAUUACCAAGUACUGCGAUAGUCUUAGAGAACAAAUUGUAGUUGAUAAGUACUAGAACUAAACUCUUAUGUCGCUUCCCAUUAUGUAUCUUGCUCCAUUCAAUUAGGAGCUUUCUUUAUAUGAAAAGUGUUUUCAUUGUAUAUCUUGUUCUGUUCGAUUCCUUUCCUUCUUUAUAUGAAAAGUAGUAUAUGUUCCUGUUUAUAUUGUGCUCCUGUGUACCUCAUCUACCACCAAAAAAAAAAACCCAUUCACCUAAGCUACUAUAAUCUCCUCCGAUAUUUUCCUUCCACAUCAUAUGCUUGUCUGGGCAUCUUCUCUUUCUAUACCACCGCGCACCGCGCGGUUUAUGCCUCCUAGUACUAGUAUAUAGGUCAUCUUACCGUGAUGAAAUAUGCAUCAUUGCAUUACCUUGUAUGGCAAUCGGCAUACAUAAUUUCGAAGAGGAAAAUGAAAUUAGAAUCAAAUAUGAUAACUAAACUUGAUUAAUUCAUUUUCAGUUCCGUUGUAAGCACUUUAAUUUGAGGAUGAAGCCUUGUCUACAUAACAAUUAGUGUAGUAUGGGGCAUAUGUUACUAACAAAGAAAAAACAAUUUUAACAUCAGUUGACAACAAAAAGCCAAUCUAACAAAAAGAACAAAAAACUCAUCACCACCCUAAAUAACAAUUAAACACAAGCAAUUUGUGCUACUUAAAUAUCAUAUUCACGGUUGUCCCAGAAUUCCCGCCUUAAUUUCAAAUACAUAAAGGAAGCCAUAGCCAAUAAAACAAAAGUCAGGAAAACAUGGUAAUAGAAAUGACCAAUGCCAGCCCAUACAAAGAAAGGAAAAUAAAAUUAGUCAAAAAGAAAAGAUUAAGAAAUGAAUGACCGCCUAUCAACAACACACUUUUGUUCAAGAGGGUCACCUAUCAUUCAAGAGUUUUCAGCAAAACAGGUACAUUUUUCAGACGUGAAACUUCUAGUGUCUAAUCAUUAUUAAGAAAUCUGCAUAAAAAAAAAAAAAGAAAAAUCAAUUGCAGUGCAAUUAAAUUUUGUUGGACAAAUGCUAGACUCAAUAAUCAAAGAUAUUUUAUCCUUUUUCAGAAAUAUCAAAAUGAGCUUCAUCGAAUAUGACAAACUGUUGUAUCAAGCUCUAUAUACAAUAUAGGCAUAGGAUUGUGUAAAGAAAAUGAAAAUCUUCUCAAAUUAACUGGCCAUAAAGAAACCAAUCAGAUGGACUUUUAUACUGGUUGUAAAUGGCUUUGGUACGGGGCUGAGAAAGAAGGGAUAUUAAGGCUCAAGGCACCCAUUUUUCUGGUUAAAUUCAUCGCAUGAUCACCAUAGAACGGUUGUUCUACCAGAUUCAUUUAAACUGCCUGAAUAAUGAAACAAAAUUGUUCCUUGUCAUGACUGCCACAAAAUUAGUCAGCAUUGGACUUUCAUGAGCUUGUAAUAAGGCUGGGGAUAGGUUUGAGCAAAGAAAUGGAUAGUGAAGGCCCAAAAAACAAACAUUCAAAAGGGUUCUAAACCUGUGACCGCUUUACAAAAUGCCUGUCACGCCAUAAUUUGGGGCUCUUGAAUUCUUCCAGAUUUUUUACUUUCUUCACAAAAUGAGCCUUCUUGAUUUUGAAAUUUUAGUCUCUUCCCCAUCAUGCUUUUUUUUUCGUAGGAGAAGUAAUCAUCGCUAGGUCUUGAGACUUGAGCACUUCUCAAUCCUUUUUUUUUUUUUUUUCAGAGCUCUUCUCAAAUUUUUUUUUUUUUUUGUUGAGCUCUUCUCAAUGUUUCUAUCUUUUUGGAGCUCUUUCCUUUUUUUUGGAGCUCUUUUCAGUUUGUUUCAUUGGCUUUUAAGAAAUAAACAUUUUAAACUCUUUGAAUUUGGAGCUCUAACAAGCGUAAGACUUCAACAACUUGUCCUUCAUUUCAUUGAUAAUCAGCAAAUUGUCGUCUACUAAAUUUUGAAUUUGAUCUCCCUCAAUAUCUAACCCCAGUGUGGGGCACGGUCAACAGGGGGUUAAAUAAAAAGAAUUAUCAACUUUGAAGGCUCAAAGGGGAAAACAAAGGCCAAUAUGUUUAGAUAAAGAAACGAAUGCCAAAAACAUCAUCCUAUUUUCGAGGCGAUCAAGAUUAGGAACAAUCCAUCAAGCAGCCAAAAAGAAUUAAGUAGCACAACCCAUAAGUGUGGGUGUUUGUCAAGGGGUUUUGGAAAUAAACACAAUUCAAAGUCCCAAGGGGGUCGACAAGGUUUAAACUGCAUAUGGUAGUAGGAAGAAAGCCAUCAUCACAUUGGUCUAUUUGAGUCCAGUCCUAAGAGAACUAAAUAAGUGAGGUAUAUGAAGUUGCUUGAUUCACAUUUAGAUGGUUCAGAAAUGCACAACAUAUGCCACAAAUUUACUAGCCACAAGGGUCUGAACAGGAGAACAUAGAUGGUUUAGAGAUGCACAACAUGUGCCACAAUGUUGCAAGGGUUUGUUUGGAUUGCUUCAUAUUUCCCCAAUUUUAUUUACUUACAUCAUCUUUACAAUUUCCAAUACACCUUUUUAUCUUCCCAAUAUCUUUUUAUCUCACAUACAUCACAUCACAAAAAGUGCUACAGUAAAAAUAUCCCAAAUAAUCCCAAAUAACUUACAAUCGAAACAGACCGAUGCACAACAUGCACCACAAAAGUCAUAAUGACAAGAUAGAUAGUUUGAACAUGAGACAUGAGGUUCAAGAAUCUGGCUUUUAUUUUUGGCUGAUUUUGCUACCAACUUCUAGGUUUUAGUUUGCCAUAUUCGAUGGAAAUUAUCUUCUUAUUUCUUCAAAAAGAUAUUUCAACUUUGAUCUCGAAGUGUGCCCAAAGGUGAAAUUAUACCUUCAAUUUUAAACCAAGGCAUUCAUCCAAGAAAUUUAGAUUGCACAAUAAUUCAGAAGAAACGUUGAAAAUCUAUUUCCAAAUCUACUUGUAGAAACAAUAUGAAUUUUGAACAAAACAGAAAUUUGUUGUUAUGAUUCUGCGGUGACCAUUGAACGUGGUAAUGAAAUUGAUAAGCCUUUUUGUACCAUACACGCUAGAUGAAGUAAUAAAGUACAAGAAACCAAGACGAGUAAGAGUUGGGACAAGAAUAGUAAGAAGACCAGAAAGAGAGAUAAGCAUGGUGAUACUAACAUUUCAAACCAACACUUGCCAUUUCAUCAGGACCACAUAAAUAGCUACCUAAAAAGUUCAGCAUCUUACAAAACAAAUAUAAGGAACUCAAAAACUCCACAAUGAAUAGACAAGAUUUUCGUUUCAAUUAUCAGCAUUGAGCCAAUCCUGGAGAAAAUAAGAGCAGUAUAUUACAUUACCCAUGUAGUUAUGCUUCAAAGACAUAUCAAGCUGCCUUUCUAAUGAUUCAAGUUCAUUGCUGUUUAAAGGACCAAGAUCCUCACCCAAAAGAUUCCAAGCAUCACAAUGAUGAAAAUGAAAUUGAUGCUACUGUCUCAUUCUCCAGCAGUAAAGCACCUAUGCCAUCUUUGCAUGGCUUCGUAAGAUUCAUUAUGCUUCAAAUUCUCCUACUAAUUAUAAACUGCUACAAGCAAAACAGUAUGUAAUUAAGAGUCCGAAUUUUAGAAAGAGAAUAAUGCAACAAAAGGCAUCUUCACACAGAGAAAAUCAAACAAGGUGAAAGCGAAUGAACCAUGCAAAAUUUCAGGUCUGCCCUAAAAAUCUUGUAAUUUAGACGAAAAGAGUGAAAUAACUACAAACAAGCCAAACAGCAAUUGAAAGAUUAAAACUUGAAAAGAAAAACAUAUCCAAUACUCCACUUCUAACACAUGCAAGUAGCAAAAUUAGUGUAAAUUUUCUAAGAAAUUCCACAACCAACAAAAUGCACAGGCAACAACACAUAGAUUGAUAAAGAAAAUCCGGCUACUACUAAACUAUUGCAAGAACAAACUUGUUACGAUACUUUUUUUUUUAAAAAAAAAUUAUCAACUGAAGAGAUACGUGCCGCAAUUAAUUCAGAAAUAAAAUCUAACUCACCUCAAAAGCCAUAGUAACCAGACCCUCUAUCUGAAAUCUGUGACAAACAGUAUCAAAUAAAAGAAAAUCAGCACUAAAACAUUCGUCAAAAAAGAUGAACCAUAAAAACAUGAAAAACAUGCCAUUAUUAGUAUGCGAAUACCAUGAAAUGUUCUGACCAGCGAAUAGAAGAUUGUAAAAUACAUGUUAUGUAUGUUAAAAUUCUGGCACCAUAAAUAAAAUUGUAAAGUACAUGUUUGCAAGUACACAGAGCACCAUCUCCUCAAGCAAGAAAGAAGGUACGUCCAAGAUUUUCUGGAACAUCAUGUUACAAGAACUUGUCUAAUAGAUUCAUGUGGAUUUUCUUUAUAAGUUGUGAUUCUGCAAAUUUGAAAGAACAUGCACCAUAUUUCAACUGACCCUAUAGAAUGUGAAAACCUAUAAUCUUUUAUAGGAUCUUUACUGCACUUUCUUGUGUUAUUAUUCAUUUCCAAAUUGUUGUUGUCCAUUGAUUCUUUUCCUCAACUAGUACUCUUAUGCACCCAAAACAUUCAUUUUACUCUUUUUGUCAAAACUAAUCCAUGAUGCACAUUCUAAAUAUACAUAUCAAAAGUAUAGAACUCAUACAUUUUACAUUGUAAACAACUGUGAACAUGUAGUACAACCACAUGUUAACAACAACUUCACACCAAAAUUGAUACCAUUGCAUGAUGAAAUAUCAUAAAUUACGAGAUGCCUGUAAAUUAAAAAAACAGAAUUCAGUAGAUAAAUAUAGGCAUUUCCAUAUCUCAACAACAAGACAACUAAAUCCAUUACAAAAUAUAAACAAAAAGAAAAGGAAAAGAAAGGCAAAACUUAGAAAAACAUUACAGAAAAAUUACCAAAAAAAAAAAUCAAAUUUGUCCAUGUAAAAAAAAGAACUAUAUAGAAUUGAUUUGGGCAUUCCAUAUAUCAACUGCAAGAGUCCGAAAUCCAUUAAAAUGAUAAAAAUAAGAAAAGAAUAAAUGCAGGAACUUAGAAAUAUUACAGUAAAGUUACCCAAAAAAAUUGAUAUUAUUCUUGAAAAAAUACAGAACUCAUAUGGGCACUUCCACAUCUCAACCGCAAGAGUCCCAAAUCCAUCAAACAUAUCAAAAAAUAAGACAAGAAAAUAUUAAAAAAACCAUGAAAAGAACGAAUGAAAUUGAAAAGGGGAACAUAACUGGCCUGGUUGAAAUCAUAUGAAUGAUGCAGCGACAGUAAUUUUUGACGUUUUUUCAAAGAAACUCAAAUUUUAAGUAAGAUUGAAAACCCUAAAGAAUCCUAGAAGAAGAUUACAAAGCUUUCUACAACCUUUUCUUUUUAGGGAUUUUGGAGACACAAAAACAAAACUCCUGAGAAAUUAAAUUACGAUAUAAACUGUAAUGAAAUGCAGGAGUUAGACUAAAAUAGAAGUUACGUGCUAGGAAGAAGGAAGGUAGAAGGCGUGGAAUCUAGUAACUGAAGGCGUGAUCAAAAGGAAGCACUUCGGCAAAGGCGCGUAAGCUAAACCACGCCUUUGCUGGGUUUCAUCUGUUCUAACAGAAAGCCAAGAAGCGCGGCAACUUGCAGCAACUUGCAGCUGCAAUUGGGACACGUGUUUGAACCUUAUUUGGUACUGUUAGAAAUCUGUUAGAAGCUAAUAACUAUAUAAGCAGGCCUGUCUGCUUAGUCGAGUAGGCUUUUGAAUCAUUUCUGUCCAGAUUAGUUGUAAUAGCUUGAGGAGCAAUCCUCAUACUUUCCCUCCCAAAUUUUCCUUCAGAUCUUACACCUUCUUAGCUAAAUUCAUUACCUCUAUUCUUGUAAUUUGUUUCCGAUUCAUUAAUGAAUUUGAGCUCAAUUCAAUUACUGUUCCAUUGAUCAACUGCUGAACAUUGCAGUCAAGUUUGUUUCCUUUUACAUUUUCUGCCCUUUGGCUUCUGUACCAUAACAUAAACACAAUUUUAUCUAAAUAAAAAACAAGUACUACAGUUACCUGAUUAUCCAAAUUAGUGACUCUUCUUCCCCUGUUCUACCCUCGCACUUAAAAGCACAGAGAUUCUCUCCUUCUCCGUGUGAUCAAGAGUAUGUAGAGAAUGGGAAAAAAAUUUGAGACGAAAUUUUUAUUCUCAAAAAACAAUAUCAAAAUUUGAAAGUAAAAAAUUCCGCCCAAAUUUUUUUGAAUAAAAUUAACCCAAAAAAUGUGAGGAAUUAAAAGCUGAAGGAGGACGAUAAGGCAGAAAGCGUGUACUAUUGUGCAUGUUUUUCUAGAUGUUUUUGUGUGCCGAAAUGGGAAAG